rnacentral:rRNA from 1 species
UACGUAGGGGGCAAGCGUUGUCCGGAUUUAUUGGGCGUAAAGAGCGUGUAGGCGGCCUGAAAGGUCAGCUGUGAAAACUCGAGGCUCAACCUCGAGACGUCGGUUGAAACCAUCUGGCUAGAGUCCGGAAGAGGAGUGUGGAAUUCCCGGUGUAGCGGUGAAAUGCGCAGAUAUCGGGAAGAACACCCGUGGCGAAGGCGGCACUCUGGGACGGUACUGACACUGAGAGACGAAAGCUAGGGGAGCGAAUGGG